UACGUAGGGUGCAAGCGUUAAUCGGAAUUACUGGGCGUAAAGCGUGCGCAGGCGGUUUUUUAAGCCAGAUGUGAAAUCCCCGAGCUUAACUUGGGAACUGCAUUUGGGACUGGAAGGCUAGAGUACGGCAGAGGGGGGUGGAAUUCCACGUGUAGCAGUGAAAUGCGUAGAUAUCUGGAGGAACACCAAUGGCGAAGGCAGCUCGCUGGGACGGUACUGACGCUGAGACGCGAAAGCGUGGGGAGCAAACAGG
rnacentral:rRNA from 1 species